AUACGUAGGGUGCGAGCGUUGUCCGGAAUUACUGGGCGUAAAGAGCUCGUAGGUGGUUUGUCGCGUCGUCUGUGAAAUUCCGGGGCUUAACUCCGGGCGUGCAGGCGAUACGGGCAUAACUUGAGUACUGUAGGGGAGACUGGAAUUCCUGGUGUAGCGGUGAAAUGUGCAGAUAUCAGGAGGAACACCGGUGGCGAAGGCGGGUCUCUGGGCAGUAACUGACGCUGAGGAGCGAAAGCAUGGGUAGCGAACAGGAUUAGAUACCCUGGUAGUCCAUGCCGUAAACGGUGGGCGCUAGGUGUAGGGGUCUUCCACGACUUCUGUGCCGUAGCUAACGCAUUAAGCGCCCCGCCUGGGGAGUACGGCCGCAAGGCUAAAACUCAAAUGAAUUGACGGGG
rnacentral:rRNA from 1 species